rnacentral:rRNA from 1 species
GAUGAACGCUAGCGGGAGGCCUAACACAUGCAAGCCGAGCGGUAGAGUUUCUUCGGAAACUUGAGAGCGGCGCACGGGUGCGUAACACGUGUGCAACCUACCUUUAUCUGGGGGAUGGCCUUUCGAAAGGAAGAUUAAUACCCCAUAAUAUAAUGAUUGGCAUCAAUUAUUAUUGAAAACUACGGUGGAUAGAGAUGGGCACGCGCAAGAUUAGAUAGUUGGUGAGGUAACGGCUCACCAAGUCAAUGAUCUUUAGGGGUCCUGAGAGGGAGAUCCCCCACACUGGUACUGAGACACGGACCAGACUCCUACGGGAGGCAGCAGUGAGGAAUAUUGGACAAUGGGUGAGAGCCUGAUCCAGCCAUCCCGCGUGAAGGAUGACGGUCCUAUGGAUUGUAAACUUCUUUUGUACAGGGAUAAACCUACCCUCGUGAGGGUAGCUGAAGGUACUGUACGAAUAAGCACCGGCUAACUCCGUG